GAACUCAGUGUUCAACUGUGAAGCAAAUAGAUACCCCCAGAGACAUCUUACCCAAGAAAUCCAGAGGCUCUGGUCAACCGUUUCUGUCUGGGAUCCUUUGAUCCUUUGAGGGAAGUUUCUCUCAAGGGAUAGGAGGAUGAUAGAGAAGAUGGUUCUGUUACAAAGGUACACACAGUACUCUGCCUUAUAUCAUGGUUAUUUGGAUACUUGGAUUACUCCUAUAACCCCAGUAGAGUAGAAAGUUCUUGAAGGUAA
rnacentral:lncRNA from 1 species